rnacentral:rRNA from 1 species
UACGGGGGGGGGCAAGCGUUGUUCGGAAUUACUGGGCGUAAAGCGCGCGUAGGUGGCCACAUAAGUCCGUUGUGAAAGUCAAAGGCUCAACCUUUGAAAGCCGAUGGAUACUGUGUGGCUAGAGUACGGAAGAGGCGAGUGGAAUUCCUGGUGUAGCGGUGGAAUGCGCAGAUAUCAGGAGGAACACCAAUAGCGAAGGCAGCUCGCUGGGACGUUACUGACACUGAGGCGCGAAAGCGUGGGGAGCGAACAGG